rnacentral:tRNA from 1 species
AAAGUGAAAGCUAUAAUAGCAUCUAUUUGUUAAGUAGACUUAUGUUCUCUAGAACUCACUUUA